UAUAUCCUACGGGACGCAGCAGUGAGGAAUAUUGGUCAAUGGGCGAGAGCCUGAACCAGCCAAGUCGCGUGAGGGAAGACGGUCCUAUGGAUUGUAAACCUCUUUUGCCGGGGAGCAAAAAGCGGUACGUGUACCGCAUCGAGAGUACCCGGAGAAAAAGCAUCGGCUAACUCCGUGCCAGCAGCCGCGGUAAUACGGAGGAUGCGAGCGUUAUCCGGAUUUAUUGGGUUUAAAGGGUGCGCAGGCGGCGAGUCAAGUCAGCGGUAAAAUUUCGGUGCUCAAACCCGACGAGCAGUUGAAAAUUG
rnacentral:rRNA from 1 species